UGUGGAGGUUCAGGUUUACAAUCUUAGAAAUGCAAUGAUUGAUGUGUUUUCUAAUCGUAAUGUAGCAAACAAAUUGUUUUGCAAGUUAUGUACUUUAAUUAUCUGUAUCUUACCAUUCUUACCAAGUACUGUCAAAUGUACAGCUUGAUUUUGUAUAUGUAUUUCCCUCAGUUUCUUGUAGGUUCCUGCAUAAGAGGUCAUUAUUGCAGAGUUGGAGACUGACACUAUGUUUAUUAGUACAUGCUAUUGGAAUUCCCAACAAACUUGACAGGAUGGAUCAGUCACACGUUGGUUACUUCAAGUCUUCUAAAGGUAUCCCGUAAUCUAUUAAUCAAGAUGUUUGCAGAACUAAAUAAUGUUGUAGUGACUGAACGAUUACCUGAUAAAUUAAAUUCAGUAAGUAUAUCAUUUAUAGUAGCAUCUUAUUCUUAUGUGAUGUAAUAUAUGAUCAUAUGGAUUGCAGUAUUUGAUAGCUCCGAAAUAACUUCAAGAUUUUGCCACGUGCUCUCAAACAAUCGUAGUCCGAAAAUUUGGUGGCCAGUUGCUGCUAUCUCUACUCUGCUUCGUCCUUUCGUAAUGGCAAUAAGAAAUCUUGAUUGCUGCCGACAUGAAAUUCUAACUGAAUUUGUUAUUCAGCGGGCAAAUCCAACAUCUUUUUGUACUGUACUUGCAUGUUCCAGGAUAAUUUGGUGGCAAAAGAGCUACGUCGUUUCUCACUAGACCAACAGACAAUAGUAGUGAUACCUUUGCAUUUAUAUAGUACCAUAUUUACUCAUCUGUAUACACUGUUCCUUUCAUUCCUCACACCACAAGUAUCUAACGGCCGGAUAGGUCCAGUCCAGCCGAGACACAUAUAUUCCAGUCCAACAUACUCCCUCCAUCCAAAAAAGCUUGUCCCAAGCUUUUUCGGAUGGAGGGAAUAUAUAGUCCAGUCACACAUGCUCUAACGUGAUUUCACCAGAGACAGUUAGGCCAGCAACGGUAUAUCCAUAAAGAAUAGCGACAGCUAAAGGAAACCAUUCAGCAGGUAAGAAUGAGAUAGACUUUUCAGUGCCAGGCAACCAUUGAGCUGUAGACAAGUGGAACAACAUUCAUGUCCUAGAGGGAUAAAGACACAUAUAAUUACGAUGGAGGUGACAGGCCUGAAAAUGUGAGAAUUGAAGCAAUAUAUUCCCUUGUAUAUAUGUUUUCUCUUUUGAAAUAUCUCAAUAGUUUUCCAAUUUGUUUCCUGUAAAUCUCAUAUUUUAAUACUCCUUAGACCUUAGUAAUGCAUAGGUGUAAUAUUAGUUGAUAUUGCAAUUUUG